GCUCCUAAUUCUACAUCAGCACCCUCUUCUCAAGCACUAAUAUCUAUGUUGUUCCCUGUAAUCUGUGUUUUUUUUUAACUGUGGAACAUGGCCCCCUCAAAAGACCAUAGCCUACUGUGAGUGACGGGAAUCAAAUUCUCAGGAAUUUAAAAUGUAGUUGUAUCCAUGCACGGUUUUGGUAUGUCAGUAAGAUUUAGUUUAGGUUCUAUCAGAAUAUGUAGCUACAGAUGAUGAAGCAUUUCUUGGUUAUAUUUUAUUAAAUGGGAAUAUUUUAUACAGUAUAGGUGUAGAGAAACUGUAAGGCUGUAAGUGCUAGCCAAUCAGUGCACACCACAUUGAGCUAUCUAGUCAUUUGGAGCUACUCUUUCUUCGCAAUAACAUCUGGGGCACACAUGGUAAUAGCAAUCCUCCUAGCAGCAACUCCGCCAACUGACUUAGAAAGCGGUCACCUCUACACUUGGGAAGCAUUCUGCCAGCACUAGCCACUCUACAGCUGGCUCGCAGUCACCCAGUUAUCAAACACAGAAGGAUCACCGUCACUCAUGCAAGUCAGCCUGAUGUGGCUGGAGCCUCACCAGCAUUCAUCAGUGUAUUUUCAAAAUGAUGCAUUGGUAUAUCACAGCCACCAUUACCCCAGUACCCAGCUGCUGCAUCAGGGCUUGGUGGGGGACCUUGGUUGAUUCUGCAGCAUAUUGGUAGUCCACAUGCUGCAUUUCCACCUGAUCCAGGAUCAAUAUCAAUAGACCAUUCAAGACUUGGCUCAUCUACAAAACAUUGACUUCCUUGAAACACAAUUCCACAGAGUCGAGC